rnacentral:rRNA from 1 species
GAUGAACGCUGGCGGCGCGCCUAACACAUGCAAGUCGAGCGAUGAAAUUUUAACCGAUCUCUUCGGAGAGAAGAUAAAAUGGAUUAGCGGCGGACGGGUGAGUAACACGUGAGAAACCUGCCUUCUACAAGGGGAUAGCCUCGGGAAACCGGGAUUAAUACCCUAUGACACAUUUCAUUCGCAUGGAAGUAAUGUUAAAAGUCCGGUGGUGAAAGAUGGUCUCGUGCCUGAUUAGCUAGUUGGUGGGGUAACGGACCACCAAGGCCAGGAUCAGUAACCGGGCUGAGAGGGUGAACGGUCACAAUGGGACGGAGACACGGUCCAAACUCCUACGGGAGGGAGGAGUGGGGAAUAUUGCACAAUGGAGGGAACUCUGAUGCAGCGACGCCGCGUGAACGAUGAAAGCUUUCGAGUCGUUAAGCUCUGGUCUAUGGGAAGAUAAUGACGGUACCAUAGGAGGAAGCCCCGGCUAACUACGUG